rnacentral:tRNA from 1 species
GGACGGUUAGCUCAGCUGGUUAGAGCGCGUCGCUUACACCGACGAGGUCGCUGGUUCGAUCCCAGCACCGUCCACCA